GCCUUCAUGCAUGCCCAAAGCUUUCCUCUCUUUCUCUCUUACAGGGAAUGUAGUUGUGGACCAAGUCAAAGUAGGAAUUAGUUUGGAUUUCAAAUUCUAUGAGAUAGAAUUUUAGGAAACCAAAACUCUUUCCUUUUGGCACUAAUUUUAUCCAAAUUUUUUUGAAAUUUUUAUGGAUUUUAUGGCACAUAUCAUGUGCCCUUUUUUGGUGGUCUAUGGUGGAAAAAGGAGGAGACACCC
rnacentral:lncRNA from 1 species